rnacentral:rRNA from 1 species
GCUUGCUCCCGGAUGUUAGCGGCGGACGGGUGAGUAACACGUGGGUAACCUGCCUGUAAGACUGGGAUAACUCCGGGAAACCGGAGCUAAUACCGGAUAGUUCCUUGAACCGCAUGGUUCAAGGAUGAAAGACGGUUUCGGCUGUCACUUACAGAUGGACCCGCGGCGCAUUAGCUAGUUGGUGAGGUAACGGCUCACCAAGGCGACGAUGCGUAGCCGACCUGAGAGGGUGAUCGGCCACACUGGGACUGAGACACGGCCCAGACUCCUACGGGAGGCAGCAGUAGGGAAUCUUCCGCAAUGGACGAAAGUCUGACGGAGCAACGCCGCGUGAGUGAUGAAGGUUUUCGGAUCGUAAAGCUCUGUUGUUAGGGAAGAACAAGUGCAAGAGUAACUGCUUGCACCUUGACGGUACCUAACCAGAAAGCCACGGCUAACUACGUGCCAGCAGCCGCGGUAAUACGUAGGUGGCAAGCGUUGUCCGGAAUUAUUGGGCGUAAAGGGCUCGCAGGCGGUUUCUUAAGUCUGAUGUGAAAGCCCCCGGCUCAACCGGGGAGGGUCAUUGGAAACUGGGAAACUUGAGUGCAGAAGAGGAGAGUGGAAUUCCACGUGUAGCGGUGAAAUGCGUAGAGAUGU